rnacentral:rRNA from 1 species
CGGAUCCUACGGGACGCAGCAGUGAGGAAUAUUGGUCAAUGGUCGGGAGACUGAACCAGCCAAGCCGCGUGAGGGAGGAAGGUACAGAGUAUCGUAAACCUCUUUUGUCAGGGAACAAAGGCGGGGACGUGUCCCCGGAUGAGUGUACCUGAAGAAAAAGCAUCGGCUAACUCCGUGCCAGCAGCCGCGGUAAUACGGAGGAUGCGAGCGUUAUCCGGAUUUAUUGGGUUUAAAGGGAGCGUAGAUGGGUUGUUAAGUCAGGUGUGAAAGUUUGCGGCCCAACCGUAAAAUUGCAAUUGAUACUG